rnacentral:lncRNA from 1 species
UCAUCCUAGUGGGUCCUCUAGUGGAUCUGGUUGGGGGAGCCUCAUCCCCUGAAGACUGUGGAUGAUCAGCCAUAUAUCUGUCAAAAUAAAUAACAACAUUAAAUAUUAAUAAAAGACUUAUGUAAUAUCAUAUAAAUUAACAAAACAUGUAAUAGUAAUCAUAGAAUCCAAUUUCGAUCCAUAUUCCUAAAUUUGACGAAAUUACAAUUAUACAAUUUUGUAUAUAAAAUUAUAAAUUUAAUCAUACAAUCAAUUCAGUCAUACAAUCAUACAAUUAAUAAUAAUUUAAAUUAUCAAUUCAUAGCAUAUUUGACAAAAAUGAUCAAAGCCACAACAACAUAUGCAUAUUUGACAAAAAGUUCAUAGCAUAUUUGACAAAAAAAGUUCAUAGCAUAUUUGAUAAAAAAUGAUCAAACAUUGAAAUAAAAGCUAACAUACUUUGCCUCUUCAAGAACGACCGAAACCACAACAAAUUUGACAAAAAUGAUCAAAGCCACAACAACAUAUGCAUCANGAAACGAAAGCAAACAUAGAGGCUUAAUGGAAAACUUGACGAGGGCAUAAAGGAAGUACCUGGAAUGGGCACGAAAAAAUGCAGUUCACAAUCUCAGGGUAGAAAAUGACGAUUCUGAUCGGUCAAAAAUCUUCCCCAACGUAAAAAAUGGCAACCGGUUCUACACCCAACCGCGGCCUAUUCAUUUUAAAAAAAUAAUACAAAAUGGCAUUUUUGAAAUUUUUUUUAACUUAUAUGUCGCGGUUCAGCGCCCAACCGCGGCAUAUACUCUGAAAAUUUUAAAAUUACCUCAGACCAGGGCAUAGGCCGCGGUUCCCUGGACAACCGCGGCCUAUUCCCCAACGUUCAGACUCCCAUUAACUGCCUCCCAACUGCUUUUUGGGGAAUGUCAGCCCC